CAUUUUCCCUGCUUCUUCGUCAUUUCCUCAUCUUGAACAAGAGAACAGAUCAUCCCCUUAGAGAUAUACAGGAAACGGCGGAGACCCCUCUUCCUUGAACGAAAGAAAACCAAGGAGCGUUAUCCACCAUCUCUCCAAACCUCAACAACCAGCAGCCUCACCCAUUCCCUCUCUUUCUUCUUCCCCACUUUCCAUUCAACACCAACAAACCAACCUAUUUUCCUAAGGCUGGAAUGACAACCAUUUUUGUUAAAAAGAAACACACUGAAACGCACAAAACAAUUUCAAUGGUUAAGAGAAAUAACUUGAAACUCGAAAAUCUGAGGCUCUAAAAACCAAAACAAAAAGAGUAAAAUUUCAGAUCUGGGUAUGGUUUGAUUUAGCUUGUUUUCCUUGCAAUUAGCUGUUGAAGUUGGAAUUUGCUCGGGUGUUCUGCUGAUUUUUGCGGAUGUUGUUAGCUGGGUUUUGAUUUCAAGUAGGUAUUCUUGUAUUAUAUUUUCAUCAAAUGAAAAUGAUCAAAUGCGUGUUGAAUUGGUGUGCUUUGUUUUAAUUUGGACGAAACAUUAGAGUAAUUAGCAUUGCUUCCAGCCUAGAAUUCUUUUUUGA
rnacentral:lncRNA from 1 species